AGAGUUUGAUCCUGGCUCAGGACGAACGCUGGCGGCGUGCCUAACACAUGCAAGUCGAACGGUUUAGAUGUUAGAACUGAGGAGUUAAAGGUAGAGGAAUCUAACCUCUAACUUCUGAUCUCUAACAUCUAAAUAGUGGCGGACGGGUGAGUAACGCGUGAGCAACCUGCCUUUCUGAGGGGGAUAACGUUCGGAAACGAACGCUAAUACCGCAUAAUAUAUUCUGUUGGCAUCUACGGAAUAUCAAAGGAGCAAUCCGCAGAAAGAUGGGCUCGCGUCCGAUUAGCUAGAUGGUGGGGUAAUGGCUCACCAUGGCGACGAUCGGUAGCCGGACUGAGAGGUUGAACGGCCACAUUGGGACUGAGACACGGCCCAGACUCCUACGGGAGGCAGCAGUGGGGGAUAUUGCACAAUGGGCGAAAGCCUGAUGCAGCAACGCCGCGUGAGGGAAGAAGGUAUUCGUAUUGUAAACCUCUGUCUUCGGUGAAGAAACAAAUGACGGUAGCCGAGGAGGAAGCCACGGCUAACUACGUGCCAGCAGCCGCGGUAAUACGUAGGUGGCAAGCGUUGUCCGGAAUUACUGGGUGUAAAGGGUGCGCAGGCGGGAAGGCAAGUUGGAU
rnacentral:rRNA from 1 species